rnacentral:rRNA from 1 species
GCUCAGAAGCAGCCAUACAUUCAAAGAGUGCGUAACAGCUCACUAGUCGAGAGUUCCUGCGCCGAAAAUGUCCGGGGCUGAAACACGACACCGAAGCCGUGGACUCGCAAUGCGAGUGGUAGAGGAGCAUUCUUAAAACCGACGAAGCUGUACCGGAAGGAGCAGUGGAGGGAUAAGAAGAGAGAAUGCCGGAAUGAGUAGCGAGAGAAAGGUGGGAAUCCUUUCGGCCGAAUAUCUAAGGUUUCCAGAGUAAAGCUGAUCUGCUCUGGGUAAGUCGGGACCUAAGCACAGGUCGCAAGACGUAAGCGAUGGAUAACAGGUUUAGAUUCCUGUACCACGCAUUAUCAGAACUGUAGGGACGCAUGUGGAAAGCACGGGCCGGGAAUGGAAAGACCGGUACAAGCGGGGUAGGUGUACAAUAGGCAAAUCCGUUGUAUGAUCCGAAGACGUGAUGUGGAGCGAAAUAAAGUAGUGAAGCGUGUGAGCCAUGUGCCGAGAAAAGCUGCUAUUGUGUAAUGCGUGCCCGUACCGUAAACCGAC